CAGACCUCUAAUCGGAAAAGACUACCCGC
rnacentral:rRNA from 6 species